UACAGAGGUCUCAAGCGUUGUCCGGAUUUACUGGGCGUAAAGGGUGCGUAGGCGGCGCGGUAAGUCGGGUGUGAAAUCUCGGAGCUUAACUCCGAAACUGCAUUCGAUACUGCCGUGCUUGAGGACUGGAGAGGAGACUGGAAUUUACGGUGUAGCGGUGAAAUGCGUAGAUAUCGUAAGGAAGACCAGUGGCGAAGGCGGGUCUCUGGACAGUUCCUGACGCUGAGGCACGAAGGUCAGGGGAGCAAACGGG
rnacentral:rRNA from 1 species